UGGGGAAUUUUCCGCAAUGGGCGAAAGCCUGACGGAGCAAUGCCGCGUGGAGGUGGAAGGCCUACGGGUUCGUCAACUUCUUUUCUCGGAGAAGAAACAAUGACGGUAUCUGAGGAAUAAGCAUCGGCUAACUCUGUGUCCAG
rnacentral:rRNA from 1 species